rnacentral:hammerhead_ribozyme from 1 species
AUCCAGAUGACGAGUCCCAAAUAGGACGAAAAGUUUGUCCUGGAU